rnacentral:rRNA from 1 species
AACGAACGCUGGCGGCAUGCCUAACACAUGCAAGUCGAACGAUGCCUUCGGGCAUAGUGGCGCACGGGUGCGUAACGCGUGGGAAUCUGCCUUUCGGUUCGGAAUACCUCAGGGAAACUUGAGCUAAUACCGGAUAACGUCGCACGACCAAAGAUUUAUCACCGAAAGAUGAGCCCGCGUAGGAUUAGCUAGUUGGUGAGGUAAAGGCUCACCAAGGCGACGAUCCUUAGCUGGUCUGAGAGGAUGAUCAGCCACACUGGGACUGAGACACGGCCCAGACUCCUACGGGAGGCAGCAGUGGGGAAUAUUGGACGAUGGGCGAAAGCCUGAUCCAGCAAUGCCGCGUGAGUGAUGAAGGCCUUAGGGUUGUAAAGCUCUUUUACCCGGGAAGAUAAUGACGGUACCGGGAGAAUAAGCCCCGGCUAACUCCGUG